rnacentral:lncRNA from 1 species
CGACGGGUGACCUACUUCCUUGUUCAAUUGUGUUCCCACCCUCGAAUGAUGGGCUUUACAAAACAGGGGCGGUACUAGUUUCUUUCUACAUGUUCACGGAAGCUAUGUUACCGUGCACUGUCUGAGAUUGCAAAAUAAUUACAAUUGCUGCUUCUGAUGAUUCUUCUUUCCAACUAGAGCUGGGCGUCAAAACAUGUUUUUAUGUUAUUUUACAUAGGGACAUACAGCCCUAUUCAUUUGAGCCAGAAUACACUGAAGAGGAGUUGAUACAGCGAGCACAAUAAUUGUAAGACCAGCAAGCAGUGACCGCUGCAGCCACCACCGCUGCUCCUGAUCCUGAGGAGCCAUGGUCAGACUCCAACUGGUGGUGCCUAUGCGGGUGUUGUCCAGCCAUGCCGACAGACGAGAAAUGCCUGGGCUGCAACGAAUUCGAUCGUGGACAGUUCUUACUGGAGAGGGCCAUUGCAGACACCAUGGAUUGUGUAUGUAUGGCAGACCAUCGAGGGGUGCUGGAGACGUUCUUCAGCACCCCUGCGUUCAUCCACCUCUGGUCUGCUGGCCCCCUACCUCUGCGGAAGCACAGUUCCCGCUCAGCCCAGUCAAAACUGUUCGCUGCUCUGGCACCCCAAUGGUGGAACAAGCUCCCUCACGACGCCAGGACAGCGGAGUCAAUCACCACCUUCCGUAGACACCUGAAACCCCACCUCUUUAAGGAAUACCUGGGAUAGGAUAUAGUAAUCCUUCUAACCCCCCCCAAAAAGAUAGAGAUGUACAAUUGUAAAGUGGUUGUUCCACUGGUUAUCAUAAGGUGAAUGCACCAAUUUGUAAGUCGCUCUGGAUAAGAGCGUCUGCUAAAUGACGUAAAUGUAAAAAUGUAUAUGUUCAGAACCUUCAAGAUCAACUGGAGGCGGCAGCCUAGACCAGCUGGACCAGGAGGGCAAAUGUACAACCCUGCUUGGUGGCCUACAUAUUAUUUUUGGAGUUUUCUCUAUGUGGGAAGCACACCUAAUCCCCUUGCCUGUGUAUGUUGUUGGGGCCAUUUGAGCAAUUUAUCCCUCACAUGAUGGACAGUAUGUUGGACACAAAUAAAUUAAUGACUCUCAUGACGAGAUUGAAAAGGUUCCAUAACAACAAUCUCCCCUUGUAUCAAAGUGACUCGGAAAACCUCACUGCACACCCCUAAACACACCAUAUGCACGUAUUCCUUUUGUGAACUGUAGUAUUUAUUCUAGGCGUUAGUAGAAUAUUUUUGUUUAACUGUAUAUACCGUGAGCUCCAAAAGUAUUGGGACAGUGAACAUUUUUUGUUGUCAGUUUGGCUCUGAACUGCAGCGCUUUGAAUUUAAAAUUAUACAAUGACUAUGAGGUUAAAGUGCAGACUGUCAGCUUUAAACCAUAUCGGCUGAACCGUUUACAAAUUACACUACUUUUGUACAUAGUCCCCCCCCCCAUUUUAUCAGACAAAAAGUAUUGGGAGAAAUGCACUUAUGUGUAUUAAAGUAGUAAAACCUUAAAUAUUCGGUCCCAUAUUCAUAGCACACAAUGACUAUAUCAAGCAAAUUUGUUGGAUGCAUUUGCUGUUUGUUUUGGUUGUGUUUCAGAAUAUUUUGUGCCCAAUAGAAAUGAAUGGUAAAUAAUGUAUUGUGUCAUUUUGGAGUCAUUUUUAUUCAAAAGGCACUCGCACAUCUGAGCUAUCUUUUUUGCAGGUGCAUGGUAACUGUUGAAUAAGAUGAGAAAAAAUAAGAAAGCCACACACUGCUCCUGAUAGUAUCACUGCUCUUUAAUAAGCUUUACGUAUCGGCCUCACGGUCUUCGUCAGAGCUUUUGUGAGUUUUUAAAAUUAGCAUCAUUAUGUAGACCUAGCCCCACCCACAUCCGUUCCAUGCAUCGAAUGGGGUUGGAGUCAAGGAAAAACAAAUACGUGGUACCAAAUAUGCAAUAAUAUGCAUUUCAUAAAUAUUAGAAUAAAGUGGGUACAGAAACGUACUAAACACAUCUAUAAAACCACAAUGAGGACAUCGACUUACCAAACAAGUUUUCAUAAAUCAUUGGGUACAGCGCAAGAAAAACAUCAGAGUAAACAUAAAAUUUACAACAUAACAUUUAGGCAUUUCAUCAUUAAGACCUUUAGGAAAUAAUGUCUGGAGGGUGAAAAUCCCCAAACAUUCUCUUUUGCUCAGAGUAUUAUUAAUAUCAACUCCCCUGUCUGAUAUCUUAACUUUCUCUAUGCCACAAAAUCUAAAGGUAGAAAUGUCAUGUUUUAGGUCAUUAAAAUGUACUGCGACUGGAUAAUCCCUGUCGUUUCUCCUAACUGAACUGUUAUGUUCACUGAUUCUCUGUUUGAGAGAACGGUUUUACCUACAUAGCACAGCCCACAUGGGCAUUUAAUAAUGUAGAUAACAUGGGUGGUGGAGCACGUAAUAAUGUAAUUUAUUUGGAACCGUUUUCCUGUAUGUGGGUGGCAGAAAUAUUCACACUUCAUCAUAUUGUUGCACUGUGCACAACCUCUGCAUUUAUAGCUACCAUUUGGAAGAGGCUGAUUUUCUACAUUUAGAUUUUGUGGCAUAGAGAAAAUUAAGAUAUCAGACAGGGGAGGUGAUAUUAAUAAUACUCUGAGCAAAAGAGAAUGUUUUGGGAUUUUCACCCUCCAGACAUUAUUUCCUAAAGGACUUAAUGAUGAAAUGCCUAAAUGUUAUGUUGUAAAUUUUAACAUGAAUUAUGCCCCUAUUUCAGAUUACUCUGAUGUUUUUCUUGCGCUGUACCCAAUGAUUUAUGAAAACUUGUUUGGUAAGUCGAUGUCCUCAUUGUGGUUUUACAGAUGUGUUUAGCACAUUUUAUGUACAUACUUUAUUUGAAUAUUUAUGAAAUGCAUAUUGUUUGGUAUCACGUAUUUGUUUUCCUUGACUCCAACCCCAUUCGGUGCAUGGAAUGGAUGUGGGUGGGGCCAUGUCUACAUAAGGGUGCUAAUUUUAAAAACUCACAAAAGCUCUGACGAAGGCGGUGAGGCCGAUACAUAAAGCUUAUUAAAGAGCAGUGAUACUAUCAGGAGCAGUGUGCGGCUUCCUUAUUUUU